UGAUUUUCAUUCCCGCCCAAACGUGCUCGCUCUCUCUCUCUCUCCCUCUCCCACGUCUGCCCAUGCUUUCAGUACCACACACGCCUUUAACACCCUUUCUACACCUUCUCUCUCACAUUCUCAUAGAAGAGACCUAAAAAUGAAAAUCAUCAUCAUAAUCAUCAUCUCUGAACUCGCCACCAUCGCUUCCGUCUUCGCUUCCUUCAUCUACCUCUUCAGCUUCUUCACCCAUGCUUCUCACAACGCCUCAUUGCUUCUCCUCUGCCUUCGCUGUUGUUGAUUGCACCGCCUCCCUUCUGCAAAUCAUCAAAUCAGUGGUUUCUGGUUAGAUUCCUUCGUAUUAGCUUGAAUUAAAACUCAGCGAUUGUUACCGUGCGGCGUCGAUUCAACGCGAGGCGUUGCAGAGGCUCUCAUGGAGGUCUCUCUGAUCUCUCUAAUUUCUGUUAUUUGUAAUUUUUUAUUUUUGUUCAAAUUUUAUGUUGUAUGUAGAACAUAAAAUAAGAUAGAACUAUUUUAUCAAAUCAGUUGAGUAGUGGUUUGUUGAAUAAUGGUUUGUUGGUGUUUGUUGCUGGAGAUAGAACUGCUUUGCUGAAUAGUGGUUUGUUGCUGGAGAUAGAACUGUUCUGAAUAGUGGUUGAAUAAUGGUUUUUUGGUUUUUAGUACAGAUUUUUUUGAGAUUUUAAAAAUUAUUUAUGAUGGCCUCUUAUAGAGUUUCGUUUUAAAAUAAAAUGGAUUUUAUUAAUCUUAUUCGAAGGUAUGAAUUUGUUAUUGAUCUUAAUCUUAAUCUAAAAAGGAAUGCAUAUGGACCUGGUGAGCAGUGGAUUAUUUAUAUUCCGUAUGUUCUUUUCUUUUUCUUUUUCUUUUUUAAAUUUUUUUAUAUGACAUCCACAUUUGCCAAAUUCUGUAAUAUUGUUCUAUUUUCCAGGGUAUUCCAAAAGUUGCAAUCCCCGUGAAUCAGGCAACUUCUGAGAGGGCUGAAACAGGCGCAGCAGCAGCUGCACCUGUCUCUGGAGCACCUUAUUCAUCUCCCUUGAAUUUGUUUCCUCAGGACUAACAUUAGUUUAGAUAUUAGAUAGAGAGUUUCAAGUGUAUCUUUACCUUUUAUAUGUUUCUUAUAUUUUUUAAACUGAAAUAUCUCUAGGAAACAAUUUCACAUUUUGGUGUUGGUGGAGUUGGCUCCCUAGAUUUCCUAAGAAACAACCAACAGGUUUGGUUCCUAUUAUAUUAUUUGCUGUCAUUCCUUGCUUUAAGAAGAUUAUAAUUAUAGGAGUUUGGUCUGAUCUUAAAGCUUUGCAUUUGAAUAACUGGAUCUGCUUAUAGUUAAAUAGUUUUUUGCCCCAGUAAAGUUUUUAAUGAGAUCAGAUCUUCCCAACCAUCAACCAUGUACUUUCUAUGAGAUGAAAUCAAAUUAGACCAUCUUGAUUUAUACAUAUUUUCUAUUGAAAUUGAAUUUAUUUCUUAUUCAUUUUUUUUCUAUAUUGUUUGCUUUUCAGUUCCAAGCAUUAUGUUCUAUGGUGCACACAAAUCCACAGAUUUUACAGGCGCCUUUGAAAGUUUGAUUUGCCUAGACAUGCGUUAUCAAACAAUAUCUAUUAGAAAUGGGAGUAGACAAGGAAAAGGUGGAGGGAUUAGUCUCUGAGAUGAGCAAUGGUUUAAUUACGUUGAGAAUGAGGAAGCCAUAUCGCAUUCUUAGAAGGUAUUCUUUAGGAAAGCUGUGUACUUUGUCGUUGAUCUUCCAUGAUUGAUGUGCAACUUCACAACUUGCCAAGCAGAGUUUUUAUUUUUGAAAUUUGUGAAGGGCAUACAUACCAUGCUGUGGUAAACACACUGGACAGAUACAUGCAUAAGAGCCUACAUGAGUGAAUUUUUAUUUCUUGCACUAUUUUUUAUUUUCAAUCUACCUUGCACUGGUGGAUGAAUGUUAUGUAUAUGUUGUGUGUUUUUCUUACCAUCAAAUUGUGAGCUAGAGUUUUAUGUUAGAACAAUAUUUUGUUUGUCUAA